AGUGUGUUUUCCACCCUACGGCAUUUCCAACAAUUCCAUCCAUCUCCCCUGCCAACAGCAUCUUUGGUAUUUAUAAAGUUUGUAGUAAUGCCACAAGUGAAAUUAGAUUAGAACAGAGUGUCUAUUUGACAAACCAAGAAAUUUCAAAACCCUUGCCAGCCAAACUCUCUUAUUGAAAGUCAUCUUUGUUAUGAUGUCUUUUAUGAUCUCUUAAAGUUCAUAGAGUUUGUAUUGGGAUUUGACUUGUAAUAGCCCUGGAAUGUGGCAUCAGGUUCCAUUUUAUAUGGUAAAUUCCAGAAAACUAAAGACCAUAAUAUAUGGUUUUGGUGGCCUGCUUUGAAGAGUGACAUGGGCACUUAGGUGCUAAAUACAUGCUAUUUGAGGAUACGGUCCACGGGAAAUUGGCUUAGAUCACAUUUAUUCACCUGUCUUGGUAUGUUAGUGUAGGGAACUGUGCAGGUAAAGGUCCUUGCCUUCAUCUCUUAACAUAUUCAAUAUGUGCUGACGGUUUUUGUAGUGACGUCAAUACCUAACGAGUACUUACAGAUCCAGGGCAAUCUUCCAAGCACUGACUGGGAACCAGUAGAAAUGGCCUGGAUCCUGCACUCUGGGUGCCUGAUUCAGUACGGAGUCAACCACAGGUGCUCAGACACCACAGCGCCAGCAGAAUGUGGCAACCAUCAUGAGAAAUGUGUAAGGCCAUGUGGCAGGAGUCCCUGGGUGGGAGAGGCCCCUUCAGUGUGUGAGGAGGGCCAGCUUUGGGGAUGAGCAGGUAAAGUGGGAUAGGGGGAGAUGAGAAGCGGAGGCCACAGCUGCCAUCGGGGCACUUCCGUUGUGAGGCUCAAGCCAUAAAAAACAAAAACAAAGCAAAAGAAAACCUUCACUAAUUCGAGGCCAUAUAAAAACCUACUAGAAUAAAACAAAUGUUUUUGGUGAGUAAUCCUACAUGAAAAAGAGAUUUAAUUUUAUGGCUUAAUAAGUGCUGACGCGCUGGCCGGGAGAUAAUAGAUGGUCAUCACAUUCAUGCGUUCCCACCACCCUGCGGCCAUGGAGAGAGACCUGGAGAGAAAGGCCCCAAUCCCGCUGGCAGAUGGGUGGGGAAGAAAGGGCCCCGGCUCCCGCUCUGCUCGGCGCUGCCUCACGCGACUGGACCAGCCUGUGACCUCGCAGAACCACCAACCACAGGAC
rnacentral:lncRNA from 1 species